rnacentral:tRNA from 1 species
AGGGUAAUAGCUCAGUGGUAGAGCACAUGGUUAGCAUGCAUGAGGUCCUGGGUUCAAUCCCCAGUACUUUUG